rnacentral:rRNA from 1 species
UAGUGCAAUGGCAUAAGCCAGCUUGACUGCGAGCGUGACGGCGCGAGCAGGUGCGAAAGCAGGUCAUAGUGAUCCGGUGGUUCUGAAUGGAAGGGCCAUCGCUCAACGGAUAAAAGGUACUCCGGGGAUAACAGGCUGAUACCGCCCAAGAGUUCAUAUCGACGGCGGUGUUUGGCACCUCGAUGUCGGCUCAUCACAUCCUGGGGCUGAAGUAGGUCCCAAGGGUAUGGCUGUUCGCCAUUUAAAGUGGUACGCGAGCUGGGUUUAGAACGUCGUGAGACAGUUCGGUCCCUAUCUGCCGUGGGCGCUGGAGAAUUGAGGGGGGCUGCUCCUAGUACGAGAGGACCGGAGUGGACGCAUCACUGGUGUUCGGGUUGUCAUGCCAAUGGCACUGCCCGGUAGCUAAAUGCGGAAGAGAUAAGUGCUGAAAGCAUCUAAGCACGAAACUUGCCCC